AUUGAACGCUGGCGGCAGGCCUAACACAUGCAAGUCGAGCGGAUGAUGGAAGCUUGCUUCCUGAUUUAGCGGCGGACGGGUGAGUAAUGCCUAGGAAUCUGCCUGUUAGUGGGGGAUAACCCAGGGAAACUUGGGCUAAUACCGCAUGUGCCCUUCGGGGUGAAAGACUUCGGUUGCCAGAGGAUCGGCCUGCGGCCCAUUAUUUAAUCCUAGUUGGUAGGGUAACGGCCUACCAAGGGUACGAUGGGUAGCUGGUCUGAGAGGAUGAUCAGCCACACUGGGACUGAGACACGGCCCAGACUCCUACGGGAGGCAGCAGUGGGGAAUAUUGGACAAUGGGCGAAAGCCUGAUCCAGCCACGCCGCGUGAGUGAUGAGGGCCUUCGGGUUGUAAAGCUCUGUCGGGAGGGACGAAGUACUGACGGUACCUCCCAAGAAAGCGCCGGCUAACUCCGUG
rnacentral:rRNA from 1 species